rnacentral:rRNA from 1 species
AUGAACGCUGGCGGCGUGCCUAAUACAUGCAAGUCGAGCGAACAGAUGAGGAGCUUGCUCCUCUGACGUUAGCGGCGGACGGGUGAGUAACACGUGGAUAACCUACCUAUAAGACUGGGAUAACUUCGGGAAACCGGAGCUAAUACCGGAUAAUAUAUUGAACCGCAUGGUUCAAUAGUGAAAGACGGUUUUGCUGUCACUUAUAGAUGGAUCCGCGCCGCAUUAGCUAGUUGGUAAGGUAACGGCUUACCAAGGCAACGAUGCGUAGCCGACCUGAGAGGGUGAUCGGCCACACUGGAACUGAGACACGGUCCAGACUCCUACGGGAGGCAGCAGUAGGGAAUCUUCCGCAAUGGGCGAAAGCUUGACGGAGCAACGCCGCGUGAGUGAUGAAGGUCUUCGGAUCGUAAAACUCUGUUAUUAGGGAAGAACAAAUGUGUAAGUAACUAUGCACGUCUUGACGGCACCUAAUCAGAAAGCCACGGCUAACUACGUG